rnacentral:lncRNA from 1 species
AUGUGUUUGCGCAAGGCUGAGAAACGGUUUUUAUCCCAUCUGGGUUUAAGCGAGUUGGCACGGGGGAAUGACUGUACUAACCGGCUGAAUCUCUUUCAGUGGCGGCGGCAGCAGCAGCAGCAGCAGCAGCAGCAGGAGCAGCCCCACAGCCACCGCCACAGCGCCCUGGCUCCUAAGCCCCCUGUGGGCUGAAGGCAUUGCAGGCAGCCCAUGGUCCUUGAGGAAGAGUGCAGAUGGGAUUACCGUCCACAUGGAGAUACGGAAGAGGACCAGGGAUUGGCACCGUGACCAUGGUCAGCUGGGGGCACUUCAUCUGCCUGGUCUUGGUCACCAUGGCAACCUUGUCCCUGGCCCGGCCCUCCUUCAGUUUAGUUGAGGAUACAACAUUAGAACCAGAAGAUGCCAUCUCAUCUGGAGAUGACGAGGACGACACAGAUAGCUCCGAAGACUUUGUCAGUGAGAACAGGAACAACCAGAGUAAGUAACCUGCCUCUGAAGGUCUCCGAGAGAGGAGUGACGAGGGGAAGUCCCGCCUUCUGUCGAGUCCUCACCUGUCUUCUGUUGACUCCUCCAAACCACCGUGCUGUGUCCCUUGACCCUCACUGCCCCCCCC